CCUACGGGAGGCAGCAGUGAGGAAUAUUGGUCAAUGGCCGGAAGCCUGAACCAGCCAAGCCGCGUGAAGGACGAAGGUGCCAAGCAUUGUAAACUUCUUUUGUCAAGGGACAAAAUCAGGCUCGAGAGCCUGACCGAGGGUACUUGAAGAAAAAGCAUCGGCUAACUCCGUGCCAGCAGCCGCGGUAAUACGGAGGAUGCGAGCGUUAUCCGGAUUUAUUGGGUUUAAAGGGUGCGUAGGCGGACUGUUAAGUCAGCGGUAAAAGCCCGGGGCUCAACCCCGGCGAGCCGUUGAAACUGGCUGUCUUGAGAUGUCGAGAGGGAUGCGGAAUGCGCGGUGUAGCGGUGAAAUGCUUAGAUAUUGCGCAGAACUCCGAUUGCGAAGGCAGCAUACCGGCGGCGAACUGACGCUGAGGCACGAAAGCGUGGGUAUCGAACAGGAUUAGAUACCCUAGUAGUC
rnacentral:rRNA from 1 species